GAUAAACGCUGGCGGCGCACAUAAGACAUGCAAGUCGAACGAACUUAAUCGAAAGUUUACUUUUGAAGCGGUUAGUGGCGGACUGGUGAGUAACGCGUAAGCAAUCUGCCUAUUAGAGGGGAAUAACAGUGAGAAAUCAUUGCUAAUACCGCAUAAGCUGUGAGUAUCGCAUGGUACAAACAGAAAAGGAGUAAUCCGCUGAUAGAUGAGCUUGCGUCUGAUUAGUUAGUUGGCGAGGGUAAAGGCCCACCAAGACGAUGAUCAGUAGCCGGACUGAGAGGUUGAACGGCCACAUUGGGACUGAGAUACGGCCCAGACUCCUACGGGAGGCAGCAGUCGGGAAUAUUGCGCAAUGGAGGGAACUCUGACGCAGUGACGCCGCGUGCAGGAAGAAGGUUUUCGGAUUGUAAACUGCUUUAGACAGGGAAGAAAGAAAUGACGGUACCUGAAGAAUAAGCUCCGGCUAACUACGUGCCAGCAGCCGCGGUAAUACGUAGGGAGCGAGCGUUAUCCGGAUUUAUUGGGUGUAAAGGGUGCGUAGACGGAUAGGCAAGUUAGCUGUGAAAUACCUCGGCUUAACUGAGGAACUGCAACUAAAACUACCGAUCUUGAGUACUGGAGGGGAAAGCGGAAUUCCUAGUGUAGCGGUGAAAUGCGUAGAUAUUAGGAAGAACACCGGUGGCGAAGGCGGCUUUCUGGACAGAAACUGACGUUGAGGCACGAAAGUGUGGGGAGCAAACAGGAUUAGAUACCCUGGUAGUCC
rnacentral:rRNA from 1 species